CUACGGGAGGCAGCAGUGGGGAAUAUUGCACAAUGGGCGGAAGCCUGAUGCAGCAACGCCGCGUGAGUGAAGAAGGUUUUCGGAUUGUAAAGCUCUGUCUUUGGGGACGAUAAUGACGGUACCCAAGGAGGAAGCCACGGCUAACUACGUGCCAGCAGCCGCGGUAAUA
rnacentral:rRNA from 1 species